AAAGUCGUAACAAGGUUUCCGUAGGUGAACCUGCGGAAGGAUCAUUACAAAUCCAAAACAAUUACCCGUCGUAAUGUUCUCGGCCUUGGUCAAAAUGAUGUGACAUGUCAUUAUCAUUGUUAGACAGUAUGUUGACGAACAACACUCCUGGAGAAAUAUAUUCUUUUCACCAGCAAGGUCGUCGUCAGCACACGGCUAGCACCAAGGUUCGACUUAAUGACUUUUAUGCUAUGGACAUACUGUAACCAAGUCGUUCACUCGACAAAACAAAAACAACUUUUAACAAUGGAUCUCUAGGCUCUU
rnacentral:misc_RNA from 1 species